UACGUAGGGGGCAAGCGUUUGUCCGGAAUCAUUGGGCGUAAAGAGCGCGUAGGCGGUCCGGUAAGUCGGUUGUGAAAACUGGGGGCUCAACCCUCAGAGGCCGACCGAUACUGCCGGGCUAGAGUCCGGAAGAGGCGAGUGGAAUUCCUGGUGUAGCGGUGAAAUGCGCAGAUAUCAGGAGGAACACCAAUGGCGAAGGCAGCUCGCUGGGACGGUACUGACGCUGAGGCGCGAAAGCGUGGGGAGCAAACAGG
rnacentral:rRNA from 1 species